GGAGAUAUUACAAGUCAUGAAUCAGUCAUGAAUCAGUCAUUAUUUUAUAGAUGGGCAGACUUUUUCUGAAGAGAGAUGGGCUUCAAAUAGAAACUUUCUACGACCGAAGCAAAUCCCAAACACGGGUUCGAGAAGGGGUGUUUAAGACGGAACCACUCCACCCAGCUAUGGUAAUUCCAAACCUAAAAGAAGUUCUUCCAAUCGUAUGGAGCAACGGUUUUUGUAUGUGUCCAAAAAGCAUUUCAGUCAAUAUGCCUUCCUUCUAUAUGUGUUUCUUAUCUGAUAAUCAAAUCAUUUACACAGACACUUCAUUUGGUGUCAACGACGAAUGCGUUUCGC